rnacentral:rRNA from 1 species
GAUCCUGGCUCAGGAUGAACGCUGGCGGCGUGCCUAACACAUGCAAGUCGAACGAAGCAAUUAAAAUGAAGUUUUCGGAUGGAUUUUUUAAUUGACUGAGUGGCGGACGGGUGAGUAACGCGUGGAUAACCUGCCUCACACUGGGGGAUAACAGUUAGAAAUGACUGCUAAUACCGCAUAAGCGCACAGUACCGCAUGGUACAGUGUGAAAAACUCCGGUGGUGUGAGAUGGAUCCGCGU